rnacentral:rRNA from 1 species
UACGGAGGGUGCAAGCGUUAUCCGGAUUCACUGGGUUUAAAGGGUGCGUAGGAGGGCAGGUAAGUCAGUGGUGAAAUCUCCAAGCUUAACUUGGAACUGCCGUUGAUACUAUCUGUCUUGAAUAUUUGUGGAGGUGAGCGGAAUAUGUCAUGUAGCGGUGAAAUGACUUAGAUAUGACAUAGAACACCAAAUUGCGAAGGCAGCUCACUACACAAUCAUUGACUCUGAGGCACGAAAAGCGUGGGGGAUCAAACAGG